rnacentral:rRNA from 1 species
UACGUAGGGGGCAAGCGUUGUCCGGAAUCAUUGGGCGUAAAGAGCGCGUAGGCGGUCCGGUAAGUCCGCUCUGAAAGUCCGGGGCUCAACCCCGGGAGGCGGGCGGAUACUGCCGGGCUAGAGUCCGGAAGAGGCGAGUGGAAUUCAUGGUGUAGCAGUGAAAUGCGUAGAGAUCAUGAGGAAGACCAGUGGCGAAGGCGGGUCUCUGGACAGUUCCUGACACUGAGACACGAAGGCCAGGGGAGCAAACGGG